CGCGGGGUAGAGCAGUUGGCAGCUCGUCGGGCUCAUAACCCGGAGGCCGUAGGUUCGAGUCCUACCCCCGCUA
rnacentral:tRNA from 1 species